rnacentral:rRNA from 1 species
CUGCUGCCUUCCGUAGGAGUCUGGGCCGUGUCUCAGUCCCAAUGCGGCCGAUCAACCUCUCAGUUCGGCUACAGAUCGUCGCCUUGGUGAGCCUUUACCUCACCAACUAGCUAAUCUGACGCGAGUCCAUCCAUAAGCGAUAAAUCUUUCAAAUAUCUGCCAUGCGGUAAAUAUUCAAUAUGCGGUAUUAGUCCACGUUUCCAUGGAUUAUCCCCCUCUUAUGGGCAGGUUA